rnacentral:lncRNA from 1 species
CUCCAUCAACACCAACACUUCACUGAGUUCAUGGUUAGCUACGAGGCGCCCAAGAGAACGGACACCCAGGGGCUUGGGAUGGAUGGGACCCGGAUGCCUCCUGGUCCUGCGCUCAGUGCUGUGCAACUUUGUCCAAGUCUGUCACCUCUCUGAGCCUCUGAUUCCUCACGGACAACGUGGGGCGUGUAAGCAGGCCUCCCUCUGCAGACUGUCUGGAGGAGAGCGGGCUCGAGGCCGGGAAGGCGCUCCUUGCGGUCACAGGCAAAGCCCAUCAGAGUCAUCUGCUCACCGAAGCCCCCACGGGCCUCCCCUGCGCGUCUCAGCUACUACUGAACCCAGGGGUUUCACAAAGGAAGGAAGAACUGUGUCUACACAGACUGUCACCGGGGGGCUGAAGAAACAGAGCCGUAACAGCGAGAGGCCAGGGGCGGCCCCAGCCAGCUGUGAACCACCCCCCGGAAGACACUGUCUGUUGUUUUGUCUUCACACCGCACAGCGCAGACUGAACCCCGACCACCAAGUGGCUCCCCAGGGAACUGGGAGGGAGAUGGAGGGCCCGUGGGCUCCUCCCUUCAGAAUCCCUGCACCCACACCCACCUGCAGCUCUCCCCACAGGCCUCUGUGUACCCAAACCCAAACCCAACCACAAAACCACCACGCGAGCUACUCAAAAUGGGACCAGUUCGGUGCCGAUAGCCACCCGGGACUUCAGUACUGAGACUGCAGAGAUUCGAGGAAGGAAGAGAAGGAAAAGAAGACGGAAAAGAGACUUUCUUACUCCCCAGUAGCCGCUGGAGCCAGAGGCCCAAACACCACAUGGACCCAGUGGGGGCCAGGCCACCUCUGUGUCCCGCCGCUGCUGGGUAGCUGCUGCCCUGCCCCUACCCCCACCUCCUCCCUCCAAGGUCAAGAUUUCUGGGGGAAACAGAGUCAGGGCAUCAGGGACGGUCUCACCCAAUGCCCUGGGGGGCAGUCAUCUCUGCCCAGUUAAUUUAUUCCCAAUAUGAAUCGACCCUAAUCCCAGGAACAAAUAAUUGAUUUUAAUUUUGCUUAAACCACGCGCACGCGUGCGUGCACACACACACACACACACACAUAUACCCCGAUUCAGAUUAAUCAUGGCCCCUCUGGCAGAAUAAUUAUAUUUUAUCUUCGGGAACAGACAUCUUUUCAGGGAUAUUAAGGAAGACGAGAGUCUGAGUCGUGACGGGGAGUCCGAUUGUUUAGGAAGGUCUAGGAGGUCUAGGCCCCAGACGGGGCCGGAAAUUGGGUUUGCUAACUUUGUGAGAUGGAAGGGGGAGAGGACAGAUUUCCUCACCAUCACAGGACCUGCCUCUAGUCCGCAUAAGCACGAGUGGGAGACAAAGGAAACUUCCCGAAUCAUUUCCAAAGCAUCCCGUGGCUUCCCGGGGUGAAGAUCCCCAGGAGCUCCCCUGUGUACCCUCUGCCUGGGCUGUGCCCACACGGCCUCUGACCCGAGGGAAGAUCUACGUGGGGUUCCAGCCACUGGGGCCCAUGGCUGCUUUGACUGCCAACCUGCUUUGACACCCACCCCUGCCCCAAGACCCCCCGGGCCCACUCUCCUGUGCUCCUGCAUUCAGCGGCUUCCGCCCACCGUCUCCUGCGUCCGGGGCCUGCCUUUGGCUCCCGGCCAUCAGUGCACACAGAAUCGGGGAUGCCCGUCUCACUGUGCGGGACCGGAGGGUGGGGGACCACUGGCUGUCAGCAUCCCUGGGGAGGCCACCCCCCCAGGCCUCAGACGGGACCACCCUCAAGGUCCCGAAUCCACCCUAGAAAGACCUAACAGCUCCAUCCCGCACCCGGCCAGGGCAGUGGGUGUCUAGCCUGGCCCUGUCUCAGGACACACGUCAUGGGACAAGGGGUACUGCGUCUAACAGGAGUUCCGUGGGUAAUAUCUAUCUCUUUGUUGCCCCCCAGACUCAAUUUGGAGGCCUCCCAACCCUCAGGCCUGGGCCCCCGGGCCCUGCCUGCUGAGCUCUGGGCCUGGCAGCCCCCAGAAGACCUUGAA